UACGAAGGGUGCAAACGUUGCUCGGAAUUAUUGGGCGUAAAGCGCACGUAGGCGGCUUAGCAAGUUGGAUGUGAAAUCCCUCGGCUCAACCAAGGAAGUGCAUCCAAAACUGCUGAGCUUGAGUACUAAAGAGGAUCGCGGAAUUCCCGGUGUAGAGGUGAAAUUCGCAGAUAUCGGGAGGAACACCAGUGGCGAAGGCGGCGAUCUGGGUAGAUACUGACGCUGAGGUGCGAAAGCCAGGGGAGCGAACGGG
rnacentral:rRNA from 1 species